GAUAAUAUGGGUGAAUAUAGUAACCACGAUGUUUUACAUGUAAAACCUUCAUAAGUGUGUAUCAAUGAUACCUUAAUAAAAAAAUAAGAAAAAAAAAGACAGGACUGUGUCUGAAUCAGCCACUUGGAAGAAGACAAACUCUUGGAGGUUCAAGGGUGAGCACCACUGAUACCGCAGGACAGCACAGCUCCACGUGCAGCUGAUCACCCCUGCUCUCUUCCUCCACAAGAACAACUGGGGAAACCUUGUGUGUUGAGGCAAGGCUGGUUGUGUGAUUGAAGUGAUCAGCUUUCCAAGCCCAAUUUUCUCCUUCACAGAUGACAUCAAAUGUGUUAGGAACUUGUUGAUUUAAGAAAGAAGUGGAUAGCACCUUGCAGAUAAUGUUAUUUCCAUUUGAAAUUUGCACAAGUUACAUUUGGGGACUGGGCUAUGAUGAACUCAGAGAGGGGCAUUAUUACUAGUUCCCUGUGGUAUGCCGGGAAAUAUUUAUUCUAUAGUUUAUGAUCUUGGGAUCAUGAUUAAAGUAAAAAUCUGAAACAGGGGAACAGAGCAAACAUAAAGCAUGCAGUUGCCUCCAUACUGAUGGGCAGGCAAAAAUAAAAGCUACCCAGAUUUGAGAUUAAGGGGGAAAGGCAAAGUAGUCUAAUUCAAGAAGAAAUCUAGACUAUGCACUUGUAAAUUUUCAUCUACAUUUUUUUUAAUGGGGAGAUUACUUUUUAGUGUAAAGAGGCAACAUAUUAGAGUACAACACUUUGUUGAGCACAAUAUGGGGAAUUCAGAAUACAAGAAGAUACCAUAAGAAUCUUUGUCUCUGUGUCUUAGUCAAUGUUGGUAACUUGUGACCAUUUCUGGUCUCCACAACUUGAGAAACAGAAUUUGGAGGGUGUUCAAGGGUGAUUAAAAAGAUAGAAAAUGAGCAUUUAAAAGAACGGAUUAAGGAAACAGGCGUGAAUUUAAAGGAAAGUGAAAGGAGAAGUCCUUUGAACAUGCACGUAUUUAAAUAAUUCUAAAGAUUUCAUUUCAAUUUCUUGCUCCAGAUUAUUUUAUGGAGAAUUUCCUGUCAGUAGAAGAUCACUAAUAUGGUAUAACAUUCCCAUAAACAAAGUGUUGCAGCCAUCUUAGGCACAGGGCGUGAUUCUGGACACAGUGUGGCGAGGCCAUACUGUCCACAGGUUAAGAGCAUCACAGCUAAUUUCAGGCCUUGGUCAGAAAGAUUGAAUCCCUUCCUCAGCCCUGGGGAACAAAUUAUUAAGCCAGUGGUUCACAAACAUUAGUGUAUAUCACAAUCACCUAGAGGAUUUGUUAAAACAUAGAUUGCUGGACUCCACUCCUGAAAUUUCUCAUUCAUUAGGUUUUGGGAGCAUGAAGAAGUAUGAAUAUUAAGCUGCUAACUCAAGGUCCUCCAGAGAAGGUACAUGAAGAUGAGCUAUAAGAAAACUCAGAGGGGAACAGAUUAAAAGUUUCAUAUAAUUCAACAUGGUAGAAAACGGUGUCUUGUCAUUUUAACUUGCAUCUCUUCAAUUAUAAGAGAAGCUCGUCCUCUGCAGUAUCUGAAAAGCCAGGGGCUCUUUACAUACAUAAAGUUUUUGUUUCUCAUCACAAGCAAAUGGAACAAAAGCCAAGAACAGAGAAUCAAAAAUUUGGGAUAAACCCUGGCUCACACACUUCACUUCUUUAGUCUGCUCUAGCUGCCCUAAAAAAUGGUUUGGUCACUGCCACAGCUAGACUUCCAGAUGCAGCAGGCGAGAGCAGCCUUCAGAACAUCUGCACGAAGAUGCUGGCCUCCGGGUAACAGAGAAGUCUAUCCAGGUCUUGAGCUGGGUGAAAGAAAGCUGUAAGGAGUGUCACACCUGGCCACUCACUCCACAUCUCACAUAAUUGGGUUUAGGACUGAUGCUUCGUGCAAGUUUGCUCUCCAAAAAGUAAAGGCAUCUGGUGUAACACCCAGAACAGAAUGGGAGCAAGAAAUGCCUGGAUCUCCUUGUGGACAAGUUGACAGCUGAAGACUGUGUGUGCCAAACCGGUGUCUGGCACAGGAAUGCCUCUGGUCUAAGACACACCACAGUUUGUACCAUAAAGACUUUGAAAAAUGAAAGGGAAAAACAUUUGCUAAUUCAAAUACUUAUAGUUGGGGUGGAAAAUUUGCUCUUAUUGUUUAUGAAAAUAAAGCAUUUGGAGAAUGGAAGAAAGAAUGGAGGUAUUCAUUUUCUCACUUUCCAGUAGAGUUUUCCUCAUAUUGUAGGAAAAAAUGAAACUGAUAGCAUAAGUUCGAUUAGAUGGCUUGUGAAGGGAGAAAGGACUGUGUUAAAAAGAUAGACUCACUUAUCUCAGGACUCAUAUCAUCAUUGGAGACUGAACAAUAUUUAGGCGUCCUGUUAGAGGGAGGAAAACAUCCAUGCUUAAUCUGUGGACUGAUGGGUGUAACGUAUAAAGUCCUUGUUCUUUGAAAUGGACUUUAGCCAUGGGAGCACUGGCUAGAAUUUCAGGUCGGACAUAUACCAUAAAGGGAACAUACCUGUGACACAAUUCAUGAAGAAAAUCCCAGUCUCUUCGAUUCUUCUGACAAAUUUGGCUUCUGUAUUUUUCAUGGGCCCUGGAUCUGACUGACUCAUUCCCAUCAGACAAGCCCAUUUGGGUCUUGAUGUUCCCUCAUCUGUUCUCUGGUUCCUGGAUUCAUCUCACCUCCCAUUCUUUUCCCAUUUGUUUCUUAGUUCAGUUAUCACUUACUCCCAUUGCCUGUUUCUUUGGCAUCAAUUCUCAUCCUCCACUCCCUCCACCCCCUUCCACACCCAUGGCUCCUACCUUAGCCUCCGCAUCUUUGUCUAACAGUUGACAUAAUAGUCCACUUGCCUCUUAGGUGUGUGUGAGCCUGCCACUCCAGCAGGGCUCUGCUUCGGCCACCCUGUCAGUACGUAUCACUCUCUAGGGUCACUGGCAAAAACUCUGACAGCCUAGACUUAACUCUUCAAAUUUUG